CUCUUGAGAGCGGCGGACGGGUGAGUAAUGCCUAGGAAUCUGCCUGGUAGUGGGGGAUAACGUUCGGAAACGGACGCUAAUACCGCAUACGUCCUACGGGAGAAAGCAGGGGACCUUCGGGCCUUGCGCUAUCAGAUGAGCCUAGGUCGGAUUAGCUAGUUGGUGAGGUAAUGGCUCACCAAGGCGACGAUCCGUAACUGGUCUGAGAGGAUGAUCAGUCACACUGGAACUGAGACACGGUCCAGACUCCUACGGGAGGCAGCAGUGGGGAAUAUUGGACAAUGGGCGAAAGCCUGAUCCAGCCAUGCCGCGUGUGUGAAGAAGGUCUUCGGAUUGUAAAGCACUUUAAGUUGGGAGGAAGGGCUGUUACCUAAUACGUGAUGGUUUUGACGUUACCGACAGAAUAAGCACCGGCUAACUCUGUGCCAGCAGCCGCGGUAAUACAGAGGGUGCAAGCGUUAAUCGGAAUUACUGGGCGUAAAGCGCGCGUAGGUGGUUUGUUAAGUUGGAUGUGAAAUCCCCGGGCUCAACCUGGGAACUGCAUUCAAAACUGACUGACUAGAGUAUGGUAGAGGGUGGUGGAAUUUCCUGUGUAGCGGUGAAAUGCGUAGAUAUAGGAAGGAACACCAGUGGCGAAGGCGACCACCUGG
rnacentral:rRNA from 1 species